rnacentral:lncRNA from 1 species
GAAGAACAAUUCAUAAGAGCGCUUGGCCAGCAAUUGUGAAAAAGGCAGUAUUGAGGUAACUUCUAAAAAGACCUGUAAAAGUUGGAUUUCAAUAAGUGUAAUGAUGGGCAAAUGAUAACCUAGUCAAGGCACACGAAAUUUCAAAGAAAUAUAAAAAAUUAGUAACAAAAUAUCCAGUCAAUAAAAUAAAGUACAAAUGAAUAAACUAGACAAACAUGUACAGCUACUCAAUUUGAUAUUUAUCAAUAAAAAAGAAAAAAAUAAUCCCAAUCAUAUAUGUUUAAGAAUGUGAUCCAUACGAUCUCAAUCCAUAGCAGCAAUUGCCUAUAAAACUAGCAUUCAACCUUGUUAUCAACAAAGAAAAGAUGAAUGGUUUUAAUUAAGAAUUGCAAGUUACAAUGCCCCUAAAAUGGCAUUUUAGUGCAUAUAGGUGGACAAGAACAUUGACAAGUCUUCGAAAGCCGUAAUUUGUGAAUGAGGUAUGCAAUUUAACCAAAUAUCGCUAGUAAACUAUCCCAAAUGAAGUGACUAAAUUACCCUAUUGGCACUUUUUUUUUUUUUAAUGAAAGGUUGACUAAAAAUAAAACCAACAAAGUUUUUUUUGUUGGCACUUUUUCACUCUCAAAAGGUCCCAAACCUUUCUAGGACCCAGGUAGAUCAACCUCAUUUCAAGAAUAAACUCCCAUUUCUUCCAAAACUUACACUUAACCAUAAAUUAAAAAAAAAAAAGAAAAAAAAAAACUCCUCCAGUAGCGGGAUGCACCAGUGCUCGUGAAAAAAAAAAAAGGGAAAUUGAAUUGUCAAAAUAACGAAAAUGGAUAUGGACAAAGACCACACAAAAUACCCCUACAGCCAAAUUACAGUAAGAAAUGCAAAGAGAACAAGAUAUGAACUUCACAAAAAAAUAAAAAAAGAUGCCCAAAAACUACAAAUGUGGCCCGUUCACAGAUAGGCUGAAUGGCAAUAAAGGUAUAAAAAAAGCAUUCCAAGUAAUUUACAGAAACACGUGAAAUGAAAUAAUAUUUGGUUCCUUAAGAAGUAUUUAAAAAGCCCAAAACCAGAACUUGUGUGCAAUAAAGAAAUAAAUUCAACUUCCCCAACGUUCUGCAAGUUCUUUCAAGAUAUUCAACACAUAAAAAUUCUUACACCUGAUUAAGUCCAGAACCAUCUAUGACACUCAGAAUCAACAAUUUACGAUUGAGACAAAUCCAAAACUCCAAAUCACCACAUAGAACCAGGAAAAAAAAAUAGAAAAAAAAAAUAAGGAAAACAAGCAUUGAAUCAGUAAAAUGCAACAUAAAGACUGCAAAUUUAAGCCACAAACAGGGAGGGAAAAAAAAAAGAGAGAGAGAGAGAAAUGCAACCUAAAAGAACCACUGCGGCCGGAUUAAUGAUAACCUGAAUAAAUUCAAGUAACUCGAUUUCAAACCACACAAAAGCUCAGAGACAUUCCAAAUGGAAAUCCAGAUUUCCAAACAAAUCCCCAAUCUUUCACCUUUAGUUACGAUACCCUAUUCAUGGAUUCCUGAUACACAAGGAAGAUUUACAGAGAGAGAAAGAGAAUGACCAUACCUUAUAUAAUCAAAAAGCAGGCCGCUUCAAACAAAGCAGAUGGGAGAGGCGGGACUUAGCGUCGAGGCAGAAAAGAUCACAACUCACAAGGGCGCCAUGCUAGAGAGAAAAAGAGCAAUAUUACAAGCGGGCUAGGGCUCGGCUCUGUAAAAUGGAAGUGACAUACGAACUGCUGACGAAAAUGGGGACUUAUAGUGAUAAAAAACAAAAAUGUCCCCCUUCUCACGC